GACGAACGCUGGCGGCGUGCCUAAUACAUGCAAGUAGAACGCACAGUUUAUACCGUAGCUUGCUACACCAUAGACUGUGAGUUGCGAACGGGUGAGUAACGCGUAGGUAACCUGCCUGGUAGCGGGGGAUAACUAUUGGAAACGAUAGCUAAUACCGCAUAAUAUUGAUUAUUGCAUGAUAAUUAAUUGAAAGGUGCAAUUGCACCACUACUAGAUGGACCUGCGUUGUAUUAGCUAGUAGGUGAGGUAACGGCUCACCUAGGCGACGAUACAUAGCCGACCUGAGAGGGUGAUCGGCCACACUGGGACUGAGACACGGCCCAGACUCCUACGGGAGGCAGCAGUAGGGAAUCUUCGGCAAUGGACGAAAGUCUGACCGAGCAACGCCGCGUGAGUGAAGAAGGUUUUCGGAUCGUAAAGCUCUGUUGUAAGAGAAGAACGGGUGUGAGAGUGGAAAGUUCACACUGUGACGGUAUCUUACCAGAAAGGGACGGCUAACUACGU
rnacentral:rRNA from 1 species